CAAGACAUUCCAAUACUUACUUGUUUUCCAAAUAUUACUUAUUUAUUGCACUAAUGAAUGUCAGAAGGUAUCCGGUUACUCAAACAAGAUCCAUGUGCUAUUAAUGACUCCAAAACAUUUCAUUGAUAUACCAAUAAGUUCCUACUUCAUUGUUAUGGCAUUGGUGACUCCAAAACACUUCAUUGAUGUGCCAAUGGGUUCUUACUUCAUUGUUAUUGCAUUGAUGGUCUAUUUAUAUAUCUCUUAUUGAUGUAUCAUUGUUUCAAAGUAUCAAAAAUGCGGUGGCGACCGAAAU
rnacentral:lncRNA from 1 species